AUUGAACGCUGGCGGCAGGCCUAACACAUGCAAGUCGAGCGGAGCGGCGGACGGGUGAGUAAUGCCUAGGAAUCUGCCUGGUAGUGGGGGAUAACGUCCGGAAACGGGCGCUAAUACCGCAUACUAUCAGAUGAGCCUAGGUCGGAUUAGCUAGUUGGUGGGGUAAAGGCCUACCAAGGCGACGAUCCGUAACUGGUCUGCGAGGAUGAUCAGUCACACUGGAACUGGAACACGGGCCAGAGUCCUACGGGAGGCAGCAGUGGGGAAUAUGAGACAAUGGGCGGAAGCCUUGUCCAGCCGUGGCGCGUGUGAGGAGAAGGUCUUCGGAUUGUAAUGCACUUUAAGGUGGGGGGCGUUACCAACAGAAUAAGCACCGGCUAACUUCGUGCCAGCAGCCGCGGUAAUAC
rnacentral:rRNA from 1 species